AACACAGAUUCUGACCAAAACACAAGAUGCACAGUAAAUUUGUUUUACUAACAGAUCAAUAAGUGCUCAAUAAAUAUGUAUUUUUUAAAGGCUAGACAACAGACACUUCUCAGGAUUUUAUUGUGUUCAAUGCAACUGUUAUUUUAUGCAAUGAAAUAUGCACUUUCUAAACUUGAUAACAGGGGCCAGAGUGGAACUUGGAUCAGGGGCAUUGGGAUCUUGGAUGCCUUAAAAGCCAGGUCUUAGAUGUUAAGUGAGGCCAGUUGGGAUGAUGGGGAGAGACAGUGGCGGCAGCAGCAGCAAUGAAAAUCAAUAGGAAAUGUCACAACACUGAGUCUGCAGGUUUGUGUUUGUAGCACUCAGAAGAAGAGAAUCAUCAGUAGAACAACUUUAACUUAAGCUCAAGGCCCAGAAGUACUCAGCUGGUGAUCAGAGUGACCAGUGCUUGCUUCCACAAUGCCCAGAGAUGACAGGCUGCUCUAGUGGGCUGCUAGGGAAGAGAGAGUGUGUAGAAGAAGUGGGAUGGUGGUAUUUCUAAGGGUGAAACUCAGUUUAUUACAAUUGGUUUGGGUACCAGUGGGUUUUCUUUUCUAACUUGGUAGCUAAGGAAGUUAUGUAUUCUAUAUGUCCUCUUAGAAGAACUGAUACUAAAGAGAAUUUAUAGACUAAUAGUAGAUCAGUUUUUAAAGCUGUUUAAUUUUUUUCUAUUAAGUAUAAUGAAUGAAUCAUUGCAAGAGAUCACGAGUCUUUAGUCGACAUUGUUUAACUUUGUUCAAACUAUCCCAUUUUUUACCCUUAAGUAUAGAUUCUCCACAUGCAACAGUAAAAACAUUAUAUCAAUUCAGAAAUCAAUGGACAAUAAAUGUCGCAUUUCUUAAUUUUUCUAAAUCAAAUAAGUUUGUCACCAAAUUCCUACUCAUCAAAGCUCACAAGAAGUUGCAGUGUUGGUUCCCUUUGCUCUCCUGAAUUUUACUGGAUUUAGGUCUUAAUCCAGUUCAGAAAAUAAGGGUACUGAAUUUUGGACAGUGAUGUAGAUAUUUCAUGCCUACACCUGAGGGUCAAUUUGAAGUAAUUUGCUCACCUUUUGUGCCAGCUUGGCCAUUGAGGCUGCUAUUGGUAAGUGUUGUGGGUAGAAAUUAUAAUCUUAAAAUCUUUCACUUAACUGUGAUCAAAAAAAAUUUUUAAGUGUGAGUUAUAGUGGAAAAUCCUAGGAAGAAAGAUUUCUGUUGUGUCAGGUUGUUUGUAUUUUCAAGGUAUGGGACCAGUCGUUUCUUAGUAAAGUGAAUGAGAAGAGGUUGAGAAUUUUGUAAUCCAGUCACUUUAUAAACAGGAAUACUAAAGAGCAGGGGGUUUACAUGUACAGAGGCUCUGUUCUGGUUCUGUUAAAGAAGCAGCAAAUAGCUCCUGAGAUAUUCACAGGUUUUUGUGGAGCUAUUUGUCACAAAUUCCUCCUGGAAUAUUCAUUCAUUAAAUAUGUAACUUCUAUGUAAGUUAUAUAAGUUAUCCUUAAAUGUAGACAUCACUGGGAGCAUAUAUAAUACAUACAUUGUUCAUUUCACAAAAAUACAUCACACACAUUAUAUGUUACAGAAGACUGAAUCUUUCAUUAAAAUUGCAGAUGAACUAAUCAGCCAUAUGUUAAUCUGACUCAUUACUCUGUAAAUCAUAUAGGUUAUUCCUUUUCAGUGAAAGAGAAAAAGGACAUGAAGAAACCCCUUCAUGUCCCAUGAUCUACAUUUUCUCCUUUCAGAAAGCAACACAUGAAGAAUGUCCUUAGAUAUUGUAAAAAUUUUCAUAGAGAUUAGUCUCCAUGGGUAUUCAUACAGCUGUUUUCCUUCUAAGAUCUUUUUGUUUAUGGGGUGCUAUGUAUGAGGAGCAUGCAGAUUUCCAUGACAUCAAGCCCUUUCAAUCCACCAAAUCCUGUCCCAUUUCUAGGGAAUUAAGCUCCCUUGGAGCCUUGCUACCCACUUGUCCCCCUAAAGCCACAAUCUCCAUCAUUCCUGCUUGUGCACAAGGCAUCCUAAUUGCCUUGGUGGAUUCCAUUUAGAAAUGCAAAGAUUUCUAUUCUGAAAUGUAUGCAAAAAGGGCUUUUGACCUCUGUCCUGCACUGAGAAGCUUCUGGAAUAAGAAUUAUCUCACUGUUUCUUUUGAGGGGUGAUGGGAGUGGUAGAGGAGCAAAUUCAGUGUAUAUUAGUGGUGUUAAAGAAGAAGAGAAAAAAGGUGUUGUAUUUAUUACUGAUGAAGCCGUAGCAGAAAGAAAAACUCAUUAGUCUUUUACAAAUUUUUUAAAGUAAACUUUAGGAUAAUAGUCUUUAGUAGGCUGGACUUCAACAGCCCAAUUCCAAUGCGGGGUCACAAAUUGAGAGCUCCUCAAGGGCAAAUGUCAUCUCCUAGUGUCUGCAUCUUCCACAGACACUUCCCACCUGGCACAUCAUAGCUGUUAAAUAAAGGCUGGAUGAGCAGAACAGACUCUAGUGAUCAUUAGUCCCUAGCCUUCUCAUAUGGGCAUUGUAAUUUAAACAUCCCAGGCCAUCAUAUUUUAUUCUUAACUUCUCAUUGUCUUCUUUCCAUUCUUUAUAUUUAUUUAUGCUUUUAAUCAUUGUAUUAAUUUAUUGUGGCUAUCAUUACAAGGUACCACAAACUCAGUCACUCUAAACGACAGAAAUGUAUUCUUUCACAGUUCUGGAGGCUAGAAGUCUAAAAUCCAGACAUCCCACAGGGCUGGUCCAUUUCAUGACUCUCUUCUGGCUUUGGGUGGCUUGGUGGCUGCUGGCAGCCCUUGGUGUUUGUUGGCUUAUAGAUACAUCACCACCAUCCUUGCCUUUCUCUUUACAUCAACUUAUCCUCUGUGUGUUGUCUUCCAUAUUUUCUCCCUCUUACAAGGUCACUCACUUAUUGCUGGAUUUAAGGCUUUCCCUAAUCCAGGAUGAUCUCAUCUCAAGAUGCUUAAUUACAUCUGCAAAGACCUUCCAAAUAAGGUUAUGUUUACAGGUUCCAGGUAGACAUAUCUUUUUAGGGACACUAUUCAACCUACUACAUAGAGUUAUCUUGGCUUUUUCAAUUUUUGUGUUUUCUCCUUCUGAAUUUAAUACACAACCUUUUUGUACUCACUCUCUCUUGGUCUAAGUAGAUGUCUCUAGCAUAGUAUAACUUCCUAAUUAAUUGGCUAGAAGUCUGGGACAUGGACUUUUCAUUAUUCUGGAAAUUUUCACUUAUUACCUGACCAUGUGAUCUUAGAUAAAUUUAAUAACAUUUAAUCUUAUUUUUCCUGUUGAUUGCAAAUACGGAAAUCAGGCCUUGCUCAAGGAAGAGAAAAUUCAUUGUGAGUUAUAAAGCUCAUGGACAAGAACAUAGUCAGACUUUAAAAAGAAAUUAGAUCAUGGAAUUGAAAUUUUAGCACGUUCUCAUUUUUUUUUUUUUUGUCUCUGCUUUUCUCUGCAAGCUCUGUAAUUCUCCCCCCCCCCAAAUGACUGUUUUUCCGACAAAAAUGUUCAAAUUUAAUGUUACAGUUCCACCUUCAUGGACAGAUUCUUCUCCUCUUUCCCCCCCCCACUUCUUAUCUCUUUCUAAUAUCUUCAUUUGUUACACAUUUCUCUCCGAAAUCUGUUUAUGUCCCAGUUCCAGAUUAUUGAUUGAGGGAAUAAGAGUGAUUCAGUUGGGAUUUUUCCUAAUUAAACCAACUUUGACCAGAGAUAGUGUCAUUUUAUACAAAGCUGGGUCUUGAGGAUAAAACCAUAGAGAUUGGAGAUUAAAGCUGUUACCCUGAGGAAAGAAUUUGGGAGUCUGGCAGGUCUACAAAAACAUGUACCACCUUUCUCUUCAAUAACAUGGAAUUAAUAGUUCCUGCUAUGCUCACGUCACAAGAUUUUUGGAGGAUCAGAGUAGAAUUGUGCCCAAGAACAUAUUGCAAAUUGUGUAUUACUAUACACUUGAAUGAAUUGUUUUAAAGUUUAUAGUGGUGGAUUAAGGCUCUGGACAAGUAGCGGACUUGAUUUUUUAAAAUUUUUAAUGGAGAGAAUGAUUCAUCCUCUUGUCAAGUGGAUAAAGAUUUUCUAAGAGCUCAUCACCAUGGCUCCCAAAGUUUUCAUUGUUUCCACAAUGGCAGGAAAUCAUGAUUUCAAAAAUAGGGAUGAAGUUGUUGUGGGAGAGAGGAAGAAGCUGGAAAUGCAAGUUUUAAGCAGGUGAUGUAAAUGGAGGCAACCCUUCAAAGCUCCCCAGCAACAAUGGCAAGAGCACCGACUGAAUUUAGAUUCUGAUCCACUUGGACAUGGAAAACGCUGGGCUCUAUGUAAUAUUGAUUUCUCAAUUGUUUUUUAUAUGGAUAUUUAUUUUUUGACAGGUCAUGGAAAGCCAAGAUAAAUACUUGACAACAGACAUCUAACUAUCAGCCCUAAAAUAAACAAUAGUUCUUAAGUUUCUUGGGGAUCUAUGAUUCAUUGUUGAUGUUGUAGAUAUAAGAAGAGGAGAAGCAAAUUUAUCUUUCAACAGAUGUAUUGAAGCGGUUAGACAUAUUUUGUCAAGAAGGUUGUGAUUUGAUCUGGUGUUGCUGUGAGCUGUUGUGUAGGCCAGCAGCUUCAGCUCUGAUUCGACGCCCUAGCCUGGGAACCUUCAUAUGCUAUGGGUGCAGCCCUAACAAGACCGGAAAAAAAAAAAAAUCUGCUUCUCUGGCUUUGGAGCACCCCUGUACCAGGAAAGGCCAACAGUACUGGGCACUAAGGAAAGUCUGGAGUGAGCUCUUUGAAACUUUUCUCUGGGCCUUAGGAAGACAAAUUCUAACUCUUAUGAUCAUCUUGCUGUCCCUCAUUAUACUUUUUCAUUAAAAAAAAAUUAUCCAGGAGUUCCCGUUGUGACUCAGUGGUAAUGAACCCGACUAGGAUCCACGAGGCCCUGCUCAGUCAGUUAAGGAGCCGGCAUUGCCGUGAACUGUGAUGUAGGUGGCAGACGUGGCUUGGAUCUGGCAUGGCUGUGGCUGUGGUGUGGGCCAGCAGCUGCAGCUCCGACUUGGCCCUUAGCCUGGGAACUUCGAU
rnacentral:lncRNA from 1 species